rnacentral:rRNA from 1 species
GACGAACGCUGGCGGCGUGCCUAAUACAUGCAAGUCGAGCGAGACUCUUCGGAGUCUAGCGGCGGACGGGUGAGUAACACGUGGGCAACCUGCCUGUAAGACUGGGAUAACACCGGGAAACCGGUGCUAAUACCGGAUAAUCCUUUUCCUCUCAUGAGGAAAAGCUGAAAGACGGUUUCGGCUGUCACUUACAGAUGGGCUCGCGGCGCAUUAGCUAGUUGGUGAGGUAACGGCUCACCAAGGCGACGAUGCGUAGCCGACCUGAGAGGGUGAUCGGCCACACUGGGACUGAGACACGGCCCAGACUCCUACGGGAGGCAGCGGUGGGGAAUAUUGGGCAAUGGGCGAAAGCCUGACCCAGCCAUGCCGCGUGAGUGAUGAAGGCCUUCGGGUCGUAAAGCUCUGUGGGGAGGGACGAAACAGCACGUGGCCAACAUCCACGGGCCUUGACGGUACCUCCUUAGCAAGCACCGGCUAACUCCGUGCCAGCAGCCGCAGUAACAC